rnacentral:rRNA from 1 species
GAAACAUCUUCGGGUUGUGAGGUUAAGCGACUAAGCGUACACGGUGGAUGCCCUGGCAGUCAGAGGCGAUGAAGGACGUGCUAAUCUGCGAUAAGCGUCGGUAAGGUGAUAUGAACCGUUAUAACCGGCGAUUUCCGAAUGGGGAAACCCAGUGUGAUUCGUCACACUAUCAUUAACUGAAUCCAUAGGUUAAUGAGGCGAACCGGGGGAACUGAAACAUCUAAGUACCCCGAGGAAAAGAAAUCAACCGAGAUUCCCCCAGUAGCGGCGAGCGAACGGGGAGCAGCCCAGAGCCUGAAUCAGUGUGUGUGUUAGUGGAAGCGUCUGGAAAGGCGUGCGAUACAGGGUGACAGCCCCGUACACAAAAAUGCACAUAUUGUGAGCUCGAUGAGUAGGGCGGGACACGUGGUAUCCUGUCUGAAUAUGGGGGGACCAUCCUCCAAGGCUAAAUACUCCUGACUGACCGAUAGUGAACCAGUACCGUGAGGGAAAGGCGAAAAGAACCCCGGCGAGGGGAGUGAAAAAGAACCUGAAACCGUGUACGUACAAGCAGUGGGAGCACAGAGCAAUCUGUGUGACUGCGUACCUUUUGUAUAAUGGGUCAGCGACUUAUAUUCUGUAGCAAGGUUAACCGAAUAGGGGAGCCGAAGGGAAACCGAGUCUUAACUGGGCGUUAAGUUGCAGGGUAUAGACCCGAAACCCGGUGAUCUAGCCAUGGGCAGGUUGAAGGUUGGGUAACACUAACUGGAGGACCGAACCGACUAAUGUUGAAAAAUUAGCGGAUGACUUGUGGCUGGGGGUGAAAGGCCAAUCAAACCGGGAGAUAGCUGGUUCUCCCCGAAAGCUAUUUAGGUAGCGCCUCGUGAAUUCAUCUCCGGGGGUAGAGCACUGUUUCGGCAAGGGGGUCAUCCCGACUUACCAACCCGAUGCAAACUGCGAAUACCGGAGAAUGUUAUCACGGGAGACACACGGCGGGUGCUAACGUCCGUCGUGAAGAGGGAAACAACCCAGACCGCCAGCUAAGGUCCCAAAGUCAUGGUUAAGUGGGAAACGAUGUGGGAAGGCCCAGACAGCCAGGAUGUUGGCUUAGAAGCAGCCAUCAUUUAAAGAAAGCGUAAUAGCUCACUGGUCGAGUCGGCCUGCGCGGAAGAUGUAACGGGGCUAAACCAUGCACCGAAGCUGCGGCAGCGACGCUGAUGCGUUGUUGGGUAGGGGAGCGUUCUGUAAGCCUGCGAAGGUGUGCUGUGAGGCAUGCUGGAGGUAUCAGAAGUGCGAAUGCUGACAUAAGUAACGAUAAAGCGGGUGAAAAGCCCGCUCGCCGGAAGACCAAGGGUUCCUGUCCAACGUUAAUCGGGGCAGGGUGAGUCGACCCCUAAGGCGAGGCCGAAAGGCGUAGUCGAUGGGAAACAGGUUAAUAUUCCUGUACUUGGUGUUACUGCGAAGGGGGGACGGAGAAGGCUAUGUUGGCCGGGCGACGGUUGUCCCGGUUUAAGCGUGUAGGCUGGUUUUCCAGGCAAAUCCGGAAAAUCAAGGCUGAGGCGUGAUGACGAGGCACUACGGUGCUGAAGCAACAAAUGCCCUGCUUCCAGGAAAAGCCUCUAAGCAUCAGGUAACAUCAAAUCGUACCCCAAACCGACACAGGUGGUCAGGUAGAGAAUACCAAGGCGCUUGAGAGAACUCGGGUGAAGGAACUAGGCAAAAUGGUGCCGUAACUUCGGGAGAAGGCACGCUGAUAUGUAGGUGAAGCGACUUGCUCGUGGAGCUGAAAUCAGUCGAAGAUACCAGCUGGCUGCAACUGUUUAUUAAAAACACAGCACUGUGCAAACACGAAAGUGGACGUAUACGGUGUGACGCCUGCCCGGUGCCGGAAGGUUAAUUGAUGGGGUCAGCGCAAGCGAAGCUCUUGAUCGAAGCCCCGGUAAACGGCGGCCGUAACUAUAACGGUCCUAAGGUAGCGAAAUUCCUUGUCGGGUAAGUUCCGACCUGCACGAAUGGCGUAAUGAUGGCCAGGCUGUCUCCACCCGAGACUCAGUGAAAUUGAACUCGCUGUGAAGAUGCAGUGUACCCGCGGCAAGACGGAAAGACCCCGUGAACCUUUACUAUAGCUUGACACUGAACAUUGAGCCUUGAUGUGUAGGAUAGGUGGGAGGCUUUGAAGUGUGGACGCCAGUCUGCAUGGAGCCGACCUUGAAAUACCACCCUUUAAUGUUUGAUGUUCUAACGUGGACCCGUAAUCCGGGUUGCGGACAGUGUCUGGUGGGUAGUUUGACUGGGGCGGUCUCCUCCUAAAGAGUAACGGAGGAGCACGAAGGUUGGCUAAUCCUGGUCGGACAUCAGGAGGUUAGUGCAAUGGCAUAAGCCAGCUUGACUGCGAGCGUGACGGCGCGAGCAGGUGCGAAAGCAGGUCAUAGUGAUCCGGUGGUUCUGAAUGGAAGGGCCAUCGCUCAACGGAUAAAAGGUACUCCGGGGAUAACAGGCUGAUACCGCCCAAGAGUUCAUAUCGACGGCGGUGUUUGGCACCUCGAUGUCGGCUCAUCACAUCCUGGGGCUGAAGUAGGUCCCAAGGGUAUGGCUGUUCGCCAUUUAAAGUGGUACGCGAGCUGGGUUUAGAACGUCGUGAGACAGUUCGGUCCCUAUCUGCCGUGGGCGCUGGAGAAUUGAGGGGGGCUGCUCCUAGUACGAGAGGACCGGAGUGGACGCAUCACUGGUGUUCGGGUUGUCAUGCCAAUGGCACUGCCCGGUAGCUAAAUGCGGAAGAGAUAAGUGCUGAAAGCAUCUAAGCACGAAACUUGCCCCGAGAUGAGUUCUCCCUGACUCCUUGAGAGUCCUGAAGGAACGUUGAAGACGACGACGUUGAUAGGCCGGGUGUGUAAGCGCAGCGAUGCGUUGAGCUAACCGGUACUAAUGAACCGUGAGGCUUAACCUU